rnacentral:rRNA from 1 species
GCGAGAUGUGGUCGGGGAGGCAGUGUGGUAUGGAGGAUGAUAGCGUUGUCCGGAGUAUGUGAGAGUAAGUGGUUCGGAGGGAGUUUGGUAAGUAGAGUGUUAAAGACUGGUGCGAUACCGCGGAAAUGCAUGGGAAACGGGCAGACGCGAGUGUGAUAGAGGCAAUCGGGAUGCCAGGUGUAGCGGUGAAAUGCGUAGAGAGCUGGAAGAACACCGGUGGCGCAAGCGGAGUGCUGGGCCAUAACAGACGCUGAGGAACGGAAGCUAGGGUAGCGAAUGGGAAUAGAUACCCCAGUAGUC